rnacentral:rRNA from 1 species
CGGGAAACUGGGGAUAAUACCCGAUGUACCUCGGCUGCUGGAAUGCAUCGAGGCCGAAAGCUCCGGCGCCUAAGGAUGGGUCUGCGGCCUAUCAGGUAGUAGUGGGUGUAGCGUCCCUCCUAGCCUACGACGGGUACGGGUUGUGAGAGCAAGAGCCCGGAGAUGGAUCCUGAGACACGAAUCCAGGCCCUACGGGGUGCAGCAGGCGCGAAAACUUUACAAUGCUGGCAACAGCGAUAAGGGAACCUCGAGUGCCAGGUUACAAAUCUGGCUGUCGUGAUGCCUAAAAAGCAUUGCGUAGCAAGGGCCGGGCAAGACCGGUGCCAGCCGCCGCGGUAAUA